rnacentral:rRNA from 1 species
AGUGAACGCUGGCGGUAGGCCUAACACAUGCAAGUCGAACGGCAGCACAGUAAGAGCUUGCUCUUACGGGUGGCGAGUGGCGGACGGGUGAGGAAUACAUCGGAAUCUACUUUUUCGUGGGGGAUAACGUAGGGAAACUUACGCUAAUACCGCAUACGACCUACGGGUGAAAGCAGGGGAUCUUCGGACCUUGCGCGAUUGAAUGAGCCGAUGUCGGAUUAGCUAGUUGGCGGGGGAAAGGCCCACCAAGGCGACGAUCCGUAGCUGGCCUGAGAGGAUGAUCAGCCACACUGGAACUGAGACACGGUCCAGACUCCUACGGGAGGCAGCAGUGGGGAAUAUUGGACAAUGGGCGCAAGCCUGAUCCAGCCAUACCGCGUGGGUGAAGAAGGCCUUCGGGUUGUAAAGCCCUUUUGUUGGGAAAGAAAAGCAGCAGGUUAAUACCCCGCUGUUCUGACGGUACCCAAAGAAUAAGCACCGGCUAACUUCGUG